CCUACGGGUGGCAGCAGUGAGGAAUAUUGGUCAAUGGCCGCGAGACUGAACCAGCCAAGUCGCGUGAAGGACGACGGCCCUACGGGUUGUAAACCUCUUUUGUCAGGGGACAAAAUGCGGGUCGUGACCUGCUUUGGAGGUACCUUAAGAAAAAGCAUCGGCUAACUCCGUGCCAGCAGCCGCGGUAAUACGGAGGAUGCGAGCGUUAUCCGGAUUUAUUGGGUUUAAAGGGUGCGCAGGCGGAGGCACAAGUCAGCGGUAAAAUCCCGGGGCUCAACCCCGCGCCGCAGUUGAAACUGGGUGCCUUGAGUGCGCGAAGGGUAGGCGGAAUGCGUGGUGUAGCGGUGAAAUGCAUAGAUAUCACGAAGAACUCCGAUUGCGAAGGCAGCAUACCGGCGCGCAACUGACGCUGAGGCACGAAAGCGCGGGUAUCGAACAGGAUUAGAUACCCCGGUAGUC
rnacentral:rRNA from 1 species